AUGCAGCAAAAUCACAGCGUAACUGAGUUCAUACUGCUAGGAUUGACCCAAGAUCCUAUGAAAAAGAAAAUGAUAUUUAUAAUCUUCUUCAUUUUAUAUAUGGGAACCAUGGUGGGGAAUUUGCUUAUUAUUGUGACCAUCAAGUCCAGCCGGACACUUGGGGGGCCCCAUGUACUUUUUCCUAUUUUAUUUGUCCCUUGCUGAUUCCUGCUUCUCAACAUCCACAGCCCCCAGACUAAUUGUGGAUUCACUCUCUGCGCAAAGAAUCAUAACUUACAAUGAGUGCAUGACUCAAGUCUUCGCACUACAUUUCUUUGGCUGCAUGGAGGUCUUUGUGCUCAUCCUCAUGGCCGUGGAUCGCUAUGUGGCCAUCUGUAAGCCGUUACAUUACCCAACCAUCAUGAGAAGGCAGGUCUGCACCAUCCUGAUUGUGCUCGCAUGGAUAGGGUCUUUUAUCCAUUCUAUAGUCGAGGUUGCCCAGGCCUUGAAAUUGCCUUUCUGUGGACCCAAUCUGAUUGAUCAUUACUGCUGUGAUUUGCAGCCCUUACUGAAACUUGCUUGCAUGGACACCUAUCUGAUCAACCUAGAAUGGGCGACUAACAGUGGGGCAAUCUGCACAAGCAGUUUUGUGAUUCUGAUGAUCUCAUACAUUGUCAUCUUGCAUUCCCUGCGAAACCACAGUGCAGAAGGGAGGAAAAAAGCUCUCUCUACUUGCACUUCUCACAUCAUCGUAGUAGUCUUAUUCUUUGGUCCAUGCAUGUUCAUAUAUACACGCCCCCCAACCACUUUCCCCAUGGACAAGAUGGUGACGGUGUUUUAUACUAUUGGGACCCCUUUUCUCAACCCACUCAUCUACACACUGAGGAAUGCAGAAGUGAAAAAUGCCAUGAGGAAGCUAUGGUGUAUCAAAAUUACCUUAGAAAGCAAAAGAUGA